rnacentral:lncRNA from 1 species
AGCGUGGGAGGCGAUGGGAUAAAACCGAAAUUUUCGGUUUUCUUUAUUUUCUUCUUUUUACAACUUAACAGUUUAGUCCUUGAAAUUUCCAUAUUUACAUAUAGGUCCUCCGAUUUAUAAAUAAAUCUUUAUUAAUAAUUUUCAAAAGUGAGGGAUAUUACACUCUCCCCUCCUUAAAAGAAAAUUUAGUCCUCUAAAUUUAUCAUAGCUUAAUCGAUGAAAAGAUGAUGAUUUUGUUUUCUUUAUUUCCUCCUCCUGCUCUUAAAUAGUUUCAUCAAUACAAUUCAAUUACAUAAUUAUCCACGAGUGAUCGAAAUAUUCUCCUCCUUGAUCCUCAAUAGACGGUAACCUGACCUUCAUUCAAUUUCUAAAAAUACUUGCGCAUCCUGUAGUUAAUCAAACAAGUCGUCACUUCAGAGAAUACUCGUUUUUGAUGGUCACCUAAUUCAACUGUCAAUAAUCAUUACAAAGCCUCAAUGUUCCAUACAUCUUUUUAACCAACACCGGAGCACCCCAUGAUGAAAUAUUAAGCCAAAUAAAGUCCUCAUUUAAUAAUCCUUGUAGUUGCUUUUCUAAUCCCACUUACUCAAAUUAUAUUCUUGUGUAGAGAGGCUUAGAUAUUGGGAUUAUCCCAAGGACCAAAUCAAAAGCAAAAUCACAUUUGGAGGUAAUCCAAACAAGUCAUCCUGGGAUACAUUAGGCAAGGAGAUAAAUAAUGUCCAGUACUCUCAAAAUAAAAGAUCGACUGAUCAAAUAUGCAAAAAAUGAUCAUUAGUUAUAUACCAAUCCAUACUGGUAUGAUAGGAAGAUAGCCAAUCCAUACCAAGUAUAAUAUCAAAACUCCAAAUCUCUAGGAGAACUAAAUCAGCAAAAGUUCAAGUUCUCCAAUAAAAAUCAGACAAGAGGACCAGAUUCAAGUUCAUUAUCAAAGAAUCUCCAAUGAUCGUAUUUACAUAUAGCACAUAAUGUAGUGGUCUAGGUUGAAUACCCAAGUGAUAGGCAAAAUAUUCCGAAUCGAAUCAUAAAUGGGACCCAUGGUCAAACAAAUAUUUGCAUUCUUUCAUAAACAUGCAUAAUACCUUUGACCACUAAUUCAGAAGUCUUAGAAUCAUAUUCAGUGAUAGCAGACACUCUGACAUUGGCUAAUGAUUUAUGAGGCAGUGACUCUUUCUUCUUGUUCAAAGGACAGUCUUUUAUUUUAUGAUCCAACUUUCUACAAGCAAAAUAGACUCCAAUCAUUUGAAAACACAAACUUGUUUCAUAAUUUAACUUACAAUUCACACGUGAUUGAGUCUUUUGUGGUGACUUCUUUUUUUUCAAAUCCAAAUGUCUUGACCCUCCUGUUAUUACUUACUGAUUCAUUUCCAAUCAUAUUUUUAUUGGUAAACUUGUUCUUGUCAUUCUUGCCAUUGAUCUUCAAAAAUUCUUUUCAUUGUUGCCAUCAAUAAUAAGUCUUUACUUCCAAUAUAACGUGGCAAAAGAAAUAUUUCGAGUAUCAGAACAAUUUUAUACAUCAUAUAUCUUCUCCGUUUGCAUCAUUCAUUUUUCUUCCACCAAUGAAAUUAGGUCCACCAUGCUUCCGCUGCGCCACUCUGAUUCAAUAUCCCCGAUUACCCCUUUCAUCCCACUUAAUUAAUCAAAAUCAGAUGAAGUAGGAGGACUAAAUGUCAUCGUCAUCCUAGAUUCCUAAAAUGCAUCAAAAAAAAUUUCCACCAAUCACUAUAGUUCAUUAGACCUCAAUAUAUUUUGCACGUCAACAUAUCAAAUAUUUCAAUAAUCCUCAAACCAUGCUCUGAUACCACCUCUGUCACGCCCCUCAAAAUAUCCAUGAUUUUUAAAAUUUUCAUCACAGACCAAUCCAGGAUCCAAACUAACGUUUGAGGACACUGAAAAACAUUCUAUUCAUAUUCACAUCUAUAAAACCUGUGCAGUUUAUAAUCAUAUAUCACAUCACUCGAUAAUUCACAUUUAUGGCAACCCAAGCCAACUUGACAAACAUGAACAACAUUUAUAAAUCCACGAGCUAAAUAAAUUAUACAAUCAGAACUCCAACUAUUCACCACAAGUUCAUAACAUCAUAAAUUAGACUUAACA